UACGUAGGGGGCCAGCGUUGUCCGGAAUCAUUGGGCUUAAAGCGCGCGUAGGCGGCCAGAUAAGUCCGGUGUGAAAGUCAAAGGCUCAACCUUUGAAUGCCGCUGGAAACUGCCUGGCUUGAGUCCGGAAGGGGCGAGUGGAAUUCCUGGUGUAGCGGUGAAAUGCGCAGAUAUCAGGAAGAACACCCGUGGCGAAGGCGGCUCUCUGGGACGGUACUGACGCUGAGACGCGAAAGCGUGGGGAGCAAACGGG
rnacentral:rRNA from 1 species